rnacentral:rRNA from 1 species
CCAAGAGNUCGGGAUAACACCUGGAAACAGAUGCUAAUACCGGAUAACAACAGAUGAUGCCUAUCAACUGUUUAAAAGAUGGUUCUGCUAUCACUCUUGGAUGGACCUGCGGUGCAUUAGCUAGUUGGUAGGGUAACGGCCUACCAAGGCGAUGAUGCAUAGCCAGUUGAGAGACUGAUCGGCCACAUUGGGACUGAGACACGGCCCAAACUCCUACGGGAGGCAGCAGAC